AAGUCGUAACAAGGUUUCCGUAGGUGAACCUGCGGAAGGAUCAUUACUGAGUGAGGGCCCUCUGGGUCCAACCUCCCACCCGUGUUUAUUGUACCUUGUUGCUUCGGUGCGCCCGCCUCACGGCCGCCGGGGGGCUUCUGCCCCCGGGUCCGCGCGCACCGGAGACACCAUUGAACUCUGUCUGAAGAUUGCAGUCUGAGCAUAAACUAAAUAAGUUAAAACUUUCAACAACGGAUCUCUUGGUUCCG
rnacentral:misc_RNA from 1 species